CACGUAGUUAGCCGGUGCUUAUUCUUCAGGUACCGUCAUUAGCGCUCUGUAUUAGAAAGCGCCGUUUCUUCCCUGACAAAAGAGCUUUACAACCCGAAGGCCUUCUUCACUCACGCGGCAUUGCUGGAUCAGGCUUGCGCCCAUUGUCCAAAAUUCCCCACUGCUGCCUCCCGUAGGAGUCUGGACCGUGUCUCAGUUCCAGUGUGGCUGGUCGUCCUCUCAGACCAGCUACUGAUCGAUGCCUUGGUAGGCUUUUACCCUACCAACUAGCUAAUCAGAUAUCGGCCGCUCCACGAGCAUGAGGCCGCCAAGGCGGGCCCCCACUUUCAUCCGUAGAUCGUAUGCGGUAUUAGCGUAACUUUCGCUACGUUAUCCCCCACUCCAGGUACGUUCCGAUAUAUUACUCACCCGUUCGCCACUCGCCGCCAGGUUUCCCCGCGCUGCCGUUCGACUUGCAUGUGUAAGGCAUGCCGCCAGCGUUCAAUCUGAGCCAGGAUA
rnacentral:rRNA from 1 species